GGGGCAGUAGCUCAAUUGGCAGAGCGUCUCGGCGCAAGCCGCGAAUAUGGAAGUUCAAUCCCUCCCUGCUCCA
rnacentral:tRNA from 1 species